CGAGACCUUUUAGGUCUAGUGGCGCACGGGUGCGUAACGCGUGGGAAUCUGCCCUUAGGUUCGGAAUAACAGUUAGAAAUGACUGCUAAUACCGGAUAAUGUCUUCGGACCAAAGAUUUAUUGCCUAAGGAUGAGCCCGCGUAAGAUUAGCUUGUUGGUGAGGUAAAGGCUCACCAAGGCGACGAUCUUUAGCUGGUCUGAGAGGAUGAUCAGCCACACUGGGACUGAGACACGGCCCAGACUCCUACGGGAGGCAGCAGUGGGGAAUAUUGGACAAUGGGCGAAAGCCUGAUCCAGCAAUGCCGCGUGAGUGAUGAAGGCCUUAGGGUUGUAAAGCUCUUUUACCCGGGAUGAUAAUGACAGUACCGGGAGAAUAAGCCCCGGCUAACUCCGUGCCAGCAGCCGCGGUAAUACGGAGGGGGCUAGCGUUGUUCGGAAUUACUGGGCGUAAAGCGUACGUAGGCGGCUUUGUAAGUUAGAGGUGAAAGCCCGGAGCUCAACUCCGGAAUUGCCUUUAAGACUGCAUCGCUUGAAUCAUGGAGAGGUGAGUGGAAUUCCGAGUGUAGAGGUGAAAUUCGUAGAUAUUCGGAAGAACACCAGUGGCGAAAGGCGACUCACUGGACAUGUAUUGACGCUGAGGUACGAAAACGUGGGGGAGCAAACAGGAUUAGAUACCCUGGUAGUCCACGCCGUAACGAUGAUAACUAGCUGUCGGGGCUCUAGAAGUUUCCGGGG
rnacentral:rRNA from 1 species